CAGUAGCCGCGGUAAUACAGAGGGUGCAAGCGUUAAUCGGAUUUACUGGGCGUAAAGCGCACGUAGGCGGAUCGAUCAGUCAGGGGUGAAAUCCCAGAGCUCAACUCUGGAACUGCCUUUGAUACUGUCGAUCUGGAGUAUGGAAGAGGUGAGUGGAAUUCCGAGUGUAGGGGUGAAAUUCGUAGAUAUUCGGAGGAACACCAGUGGCGAAGGCGGCUCACUGGUCCAUUACUGACGCUGAGGUGCGAAAGCGCGGGGAGCAAACAGGAUUAGAUACCCCUGUAGUCCCUGUCUCUUAUAC
rnacentral:rRNA from 1 species